UGGGGGGUCGUCCAACGGUAAGACAACGGCCUUUGAAGCCGUGUAUCCAGGUUCGAGUCCUGGCCCCCCAA
rnacentral:tRNA from 1 species